rnacentral:rRNA from 1 species
UACAGAGGUCCCGAGCGUUGUUCGGAUUCACUGGGCGUAAAGGGUGCGUAGGUGGCGAUGAAAGUUCGAUGUGAAAUCUCCGGGCUUAACCCGGAAAAGGCAUUGAAAACUAUGUUGCUUGAGGUUUGGAGGGGGGACUGGAAUCCUUGGUGUAGCAGUGAAAUGCGUAGAUAUCAAGAGGAACACCAGUGGCGAAGGCGGGUCCCUGGACAACACCUGACACUGAGGCACGAAAGCUAGGGGAGCAAACAGG